ACGUAGGAUGCAAGCGUUGUCCGGAUUUACUGGGCGUAAAGCGCGCGCAGGCGGCACAUUGAGUAAGGUGUGAAAUCUCCCGGCUCAACCGGGAGGGUGCACAUUAGACUGAUGAGCUUGAGGUCGGUAGAGGGGGGUGGAAUUGCUGGUGUAGCGGUGAAAUGCGUAGAGAUCAGCAGGAACACCCGUGGCGAAGGCGGCCCCCUGGGCCGUACCUGACGCUGAGGCGCGAAGGCUAGGGGAGCGAACGGGA
rnacentral:rRNA from 1 species